AGUUCUAAUUAUAGUUAAAAAGUAUCUAAACUAAAACGUUUUGUUACAAUGUAUGCUGUGAACAUUUCCAACGCUAUCCUGAGAUGUGCCGUUCAAAAUUCCAUCCGUCCUGGUGGACGCAUCGCACUGCAAACUAUGAGUGCACCUAUCAUGCACAAUGUUGGCAGUAGAAGCCUACAAACCACUGCUGUUCAAAACGACAUUGAUUCUGCUGCUAAGUUUAUUGGUGCUGGAGCUGCAACAGUUGGCGUGGCUGGAUCCGGUGCUGGUAUUGGUACAGUGUUCGGAAGUCUAAUUAUCGGAUAUGCAAGAAACCCAUCCCUAAAGCAACAACUUUUCACAUACGCAAUUUUAGGUUUUGCGUUAUCUGAAGCAAUGGGACUGUUUUGUCUUAUGGUUGCAUUCUUAAUUUUGUUCGCUCUUUGAGCAGCGUAAUGUGUGUACAUUUAUAUGAGACAAAAUUUAAAAGUUCCCUUAGUGUGUUAAAUUAAAACUAUUUAAUCUAUUACGACAAAAUUUAAAGUUCAUUUUGCGUUUAAUAAAAAACUGCUAAAUUUAAUGAGUGCCAUUCGUAUUUUAAAAUACGCCAUGUGGUAAAUGUAACCUUGCUAAUUCAAACUAAAGUACCGGUGAUGAUGGUAACUCAAAAUACAGUUAGGAUUAGAUAAGAAAGUUUCACAAAGUAUCAAUAUAAUUUAUAAUACAUAUAUAUAUAUAAUACUGUUAAAAUGUUCAAUGUUAGCAUUUCAAACCAAAUUUUCAACAACUUUCGACUGGUGCUGGUUCAUGUAUUAUUUGUAGAGUACAUUCACAAUUCUGAAAUUUAAAUAAAUAACCUCGUUUCAU